AUGACGAGGCACAGCCUUGGGGCAGCGCUGAACGCAUUCGACAUCACUGAGAAUGGCUACAGCUGCACGGCCGCCGCAGCGCGUUCACUUUCGCCCUGCGCGGCGGCAGCACCGGCUUCAGGAAGCGGUUUAACGCUGCCACGGCCACCGGCCUCUGUGUUCUGUCGCGUCCGCAACGCUCGAGACAUUGUCGGCAACGUUGAUGAAGUUUCACAUCAUCGUGUCACUAGAAAUUUCAACAUGAAACGGGAGGAGGGGCCAUUAGGACAAUUUUUACGUAGAAGAGAUCUCGGGCAGACUGGAACAUAUGGACCAAAACUGGGGCAAGAGUUCAGUAGCUUUGCUGUUGUUGUUCCGGAACUCUUUAUCUACUCAAAGCAAUCUGGAGGAGAUGAGAAUAAUAGAUCUUCAGAGAUCGGAGAAGAAAGAAGAGGUGAGCUUGGCUGGGCAGGAGAAAUGGAGAAGAGAAGUGUCCAUACAUGGCUGCUGCCGUGCUGCGUGAGAGGGGACGUUGGGAUACGUAUCGGGGGCGUAUCGGAGGAGUAUCGGUAUCGGAUACGGUAUCCGAUACGGAUUCGCUGGUCGGCUGAAAUGAACUGCACACCUGAACGCAGCACUAAUGGAAAGAUUCAGCAUCUUGGUCGGCUGCUCGCGGCGGGGCUUGUGGCUGGUGGUUGCGGCAGUGGCAGAGCAGUGUCCGAGAGCGUGGCGCAAGCAGUGGCCCCCUGCUAUGUACGUGGGCACUCGUGCAAAGAUCUAACAUCUUCACCGACUAGGACUAAGUUUGUGAGGGUUGAAGCCAAAGGAAGAACAACAUACAAUGAGUCUGCUUAA
rnacentral:rRNA from 1 species